UCUGAGAUAUCAGCCUCCAAGACCGAGAAGAAGCAAAAUGGAUGGGACAGAGCCAAACAUAUGGACAAGCUGACCGAACAGGGGAAAAGGGCUAAACAUGGGUGCUAAACAUGGGUGGAGGCCCAGAAGCUCCAGGGGGUCAAUGGUGGAUAAUAAAAGGGAAGUUGGAUAACUAAGCCUGAUGCCGAGGAGGAGCUGCCGAGUGGAUUUCCAUGGUGGAUAAAUACUCAACUUCGAUUUGAUUAGGUUUUUGUUGGCCCGUGACCUGAUCGUCUUUGGAUUUGCGAUUAAGCAUGAUUCUCGGCUUUUAUGGGUUCAAAUAAAUGUAGCAUUGGGUACACAUUUGUUCAUACACUUGUCUGGGAUUGGAUCCGACACUUGGGCGGUUGACACGUGGCGUUGUAGGGUCGCUUGUUCGUGAUCUUGCUGAAAUCAUCUACAUAUAUGUA